GGGGGCGGCCUACCAUGCAAGUCGAACGGUAGCACAGAGAGCUUGCUCUCGGGUGACGAGUGGCGGACGGGUGAGUAAUGUCUGGGAAACUGCCUGAUGGAGGGGGAUAACUACUGGAAACGGUAGCUAAUACCGCAUAACGUCGCAAGACCAAAGAGGGGGACCUUCGGGCCUCUUGCCAUCAGAUGUGCCCAGAUGGGAUUAGCUAGUAGGUGGGGUAACGGCUCACCUAGGCGACGAUCCCUAGCUGGUCUGAGAGGAUGACCAGCCACACUGGAACUGAGACACGGUCCAGACUCCUACGGGAGGCAGCAGUGGGGAAUAUUGCACAAUGGGCGCAAGCCUGAUGCAGCCAUGCCGCGUGUAUGAAGAAGGCCUUCGGGUUGUAAAGUACUUUCAGCGGGGAGGAAGGCGAUGAGGUUAAUAACCUUGUCGAUUGACGUUACCCGCAGAAGAAGCACCGGCUAACUCCGUGCCAGCAGCCGCGGUAAUACGGAGGGUGCAAGCGUUAAUCGGAAUUACUGGGCGUAAAGCGCACGCAGGCGGUCUGUCAAGUCGGAUGUGAAAUCCCCGGGGCUCAACCUGGG
rnacentral:rRNA from 1 species